AGGUCCCGGCUGUCAUUGAACAUCCUUGGCAGUCGUUACGGGUAGUCAGAAGCCAGUAAGUCUGACGCCAGUCUAACCAAGGGGUAUCGGGUUGCCCGGGUAACUGCGUUGAGGAGGUCAGAUAGGCAGUCGCUCCUUGUAAAGCACUGGUACUCAGCUGCAUCCGGUUAGACUGGAAGCCGACCCCAACAUAGUUGGGAAAAGGC
rnacentral:lncRNA from 1 species